GUGAAUCAUCAAAUUUUUGAACGCAAAUCGCACUCUCUUCGGAGAGUAUGCCUGUUUGAGGGUCAGCCUAAAAAAAAUCGACAUAGUUGCUGUUACGCGUUAACUUUCUUGGGAAAUGGGGUCAUCUUAAACCUUUGGUUUUAGGCGGCUUAAAUUUUUUUUAACGAUUCAAAGAAGGUUCCUAGAUUUUUAUUUUCUUAUACGUUUAGGU
rnacentral:misc_RNA from 1 species